rnacentral:rRNA from 1 species
CCUACGGGCGGCUGCAGUGGGGAAUAUUGGACAAUGGGGGCAACCCUGAUCCAGCCAUGCCGCGUGUGUGAAGAAGGCCCUCGGGUUGUAAAGCACUUUCAGUGAGGAAGAACGCCUGGUGGUUAAUACCCAUCAGGAAAGACAUCACUCACAGAAGAAGCACCGGCUAACUCCGUGCCAGCAGCCGCGGUAAUACGGAGGGUGCGAGCGUUAAUCGGAAUUACUGGGCGUAAAGCGCGCGUAGGUGGCUUGAUAAGCCGGUUGUGAAAGCCCCGGGCUCAACCUGGGAACGGCAUCCGGAACUGGCAAGCUAGAGUGCAGGAGAGGAAGGUAGAAUUCCCGGUGUAGCGGUGAAAUGCGUAGAGAUCGGGAGGAAUACCAGUGGCGAAGGCGGCCUUCUGGACUGACACUGACACUGAGGUGCGAAAGCGUGGGUAGCAAACAGGAUUAGAUACCCUAGUAGUC